rnacentral:rRNA from 1 species
UUCCGGUUGAUCCCGCCGGACCCGACUGCUAUCGGAUUGAGAUUUAGCCAUGCGAGUCGAACGUUCCCCUGUUGCGGGGAGCGUGGCGUACGGCUCAGUAACACGUAGUCAACCUGCCCUGGAGACAAGGACAACCCCGGGAAACUGGGAUUAAUCCUUGAUAGGUCAUCUCAUCUGGAAGGAGAGAUGGCUUAAAGGGGUACGCGGGCUUCUUCCGCGAAUUCGCUCCGGGAUGGGACUGCGUCCGAUCAGGCUGUUGGCGGGGUAAUGGCCCACCAAACCUAUAACCGGUACGGGCCUUGAGAGAGGUGGCCCGGAGAUGGACACUGAGAGAAGGGUCCAGGUCCUACGGGGCGCAGCAGGCGCGAAACCUUCGCAAUGCGCGAAAGCGUGACGAGGUUAAUCCGAGUGACUCCCGCUGAGGGGGUCUUUUGUCAGCUGUAAAUAGGCAGGCGAAUAAGGGGAGGGCAAGCCUGGUGUCAGCCGCCGCGGUAAUACCAGCUCCUCGAGUGGUCGGGGCGAUUAUUGGGCCUAAAGCAUCCGUAGCCGGUUCCGUAGGUCCUCUGUUAAAUCCAACCGCUCAACGGUUGACCUGCAGAGGAUACCGCGGGACUAGGAGGCGGGAGAGGCGGACGGUACUCCGCGUGUAGGGGUAAAAUCCUUUGAUCCGCGGAAGACCACCAGUGGCGAAGGCGGUCCGCCAGAACGCGCUCGACGGUGAGGGAUGAAAGCUGGGGGAGCGAACCGGAUUAGAUACCCGGGUAGUCCCAG